rnacentral:rRNA from 1 species
GACGAACGCUGGCGGCGUGCUUAACACAUGCAAGUCGAACGGAAGGGCCCUGCUUUUGUGGGGUGCUCGAGUGGCGAACGGGUGAGUAACACGUGAGUAACCUGCCCUUGACUUUGGGAUAACUUCAGGAAACUGGGGCUAAUACCGGAUAGGAGCUCCUGCUGCAUGGUGGGGGUUGGAAAGUUUCGGCGGUUGGGGAUGGACUCGCGGCUUAUCAGCUUGUUGGUGGGGUAGUGGCUUACCAAGGCUUUGACGGGUAGCCGGCCUGAGAGGGUGACCGGCCACAUUGGGACUGAGAUGCGGCCCAGACUCCUACGGGAGGCAGCAGUGGGGAAUAUUGCACAAUGGGCGGAAGCCUGAUGCAGCAACGCCGCGUGCGGGAUGACGGCCUUCGGGUUGUAAACCGCUUUCGCCUGUGACGAAGCGUGAGUGACGGUAAUGGGUAAAGAAGCACCGGCUAACUACGU